rnacentral:rRNA from 1 species
AGAACGAACGCUGGCGGCAGGCUUAACACAUGCAAGUCGAACGCCCCGCAAGGGGAGUGGCAGACGGGUGAGUAACACGUGGGAACAUACCCUUCGGUUCGGAACAACGCCGGGAAACUGGCGCUAAUACCGGAUACGGCCUGUGGGCGAAAGAUUGAUCGCCGAAGGAUUGGCCCGCGUUCGAUUAGCUUGUUGGUGAGGUAACGGCUCACCAAGGCGACGAUCGAUAGCUGGUCUGAGAGGAUGGCCAGCCACAUUGGGACUGAGACACGGCCCAAACUCCUACGGGAGGCAGCAGUGGGGAAUAUUGGACAAUGGGCGCAAGCCUGAUCCAGCCAUGCCGCGUGAGUGAUGACGGCCUUAGGGUUGUAAAGCUCUUUCGCACGCGACGAUAAUGACGGUAGCGUGAGAAGAAGCCCCGGCUAACUUCGUGCCAGCAGCCGC